rnacentral:rRNA from 1 species
CCUACGGGGGGCUGCAGUCGAGAAUCAUUCACAAUGGGGGAAACCCUGAUGGUGCGACGCCGCGUGGGGGAAUGAAGGUCUUCGGAUUGUAAACCCCUGUCAUGUGGGAGCAAAUUAAAAAGAUAGUACCACAAUAGGAUGAGACGGCUAACUCUGUGCCAGCAGCCGCGGUAAUACCGAGGGCUCACGCGUUGUUCGGAAUCACUGGGCGUAAAGCGUGCGUAGGCUGUUUCGUAAGUCGUGUGUGAAAGGUGCGGGCUCAACCCGCGGACGGCACAUGAUACUGGGAGACUAGAGUAAGGGAGGGGGAACCGGAAUUCUCGGUGUAGCAGUGAAAUGCGUAGAUAUCGAGAGGAACACUCGUGGCGAAGGCGAGUACCUGGACAUUAACUGACGCUGAGGCACGAAGGCCAGGGGAGCGAAAGGGAUUAGAUACCCUAGUAGUC